GUUAAAACGAUGAUAUUUAGUUGCUUCUCGAAUGAAUUAUGAUCUAAAUUAUUACAUUUUGUAUUGAAUAGGUAAAAUUCAAUGACGGUACAAGAAAUUGAAGGACGAAGCAAAAGUGGACAAAAUUGGAGAAAAUGACUAAGUUAUAAGAUAUCCAAAGUUUGGGGACUAAAGUGAAAAUACUCCAAAGUUGUGUUGGACCUCAUGAUGAAGAUUUAAGAGUGCUCAGAGUCAAUUGGAUGAAGAAAGAUGUCAAAGGGAUCAAAUUUAGGCAAAAUAUGAUUAUAAAUCAAUUUCCAACCGAAAAGUUAUGCUCUGAAAUUUCAGUCUUACAUUGAGACCCAUUUUUGAUAUAGCAAACAAUCGAACUGGAGAAUGAUGUCAAAAGAAAAUUUGUAGUCCUUUAAGUUAUCUUUUCAACGCAUCCUGAAUUGCCUCAAUUGGACAUCGGGAGAGAAAGUUAUGCUAAAAAUACUAGAAAAAGUGCGUGAUGUUUGUUCGAAAAGUGGCGCCACUUCAGAGCGCAGCGAUGUCGAGAGAUUCAGAGAGGUGGCGCCGCAAUAUGUAACCUAAGCGAAAUUUUGGCCCAUUUUGGAGUUCAUAUGAAAAUCCUAUUCUUCAUACACGGUAGGGGACCUAUAAACACGAAAAUUCUCACACUUUAAGGGGUUCUAUAGAUUGUAGAGGAAAAACACUUCUUGAAGUAAGGAGGAGAGAUUCAAAGGGAGGAGAAAACGCCAAAUUCAUCGUGUGAAGCAUAAACUGGAAGAAGGAAUUCUUGGUGCAAGAUCCACUUUUUCUUCUACAUAUUCUUAUUAAAAAUUCCGGUGAUGGACUAUAAGACAAUUUGUUGUUGCUCUUCUUUUAUUAUGCGUAACUAAAUCCAUUGUUAGGGCGAAUAAUGUAACCCAUUUGAGAUCCUUUAUGUUUUCUUAUUAAGAUUCUUGGUUUUUAAUUUUUCCAUGUGUUGAUUCUUGCUAUGAAUUGAUUGCAUUAAAUUAUCUUAUCA
rnacentral:lncRNA from 1 species